rnacentral:rRNA from 1 species
CCUACGUGGGGCAGCAGUGAGGAAUAUUGGUCAAUGGGCGCGAGCCUGAACCAGCCAAGUCGCGUGAGGGAAGACGGCCCUACGGGUUGUAAACCUCUUUUGCCGGGGAGCAACGGGCGCCACGUGUGGCGCCACUGAGAGUACCCGGAGAAAAAGCAUCGGCUAACUACGUGCCAGCAGCCGCGGUAAUACGUAGGUGGCAAGCGUUGUCCGGAUUUACUGGGUGUAAAGGGCGUGUAGCCGGGUUGACAAGUCAGAUGUGAAAUCCUGCGGCUUAACCGCAGAACUGCAUUUGAAACUGUUGAUCUUGAGUACUGGAGAGGCAGACGGAAUUCCUAGUGUAGCGGUGAAAUGCGUAGAUAUUAGGAGGAACACCAGUGGCGAAGGCGGUCUGCUGGACAGCAACUGACGGUGAGGCGCGAAAGCGUGGGGAGCAAACAGGAUUAGAUACCCGUGUAGUC